CUCUCUACCUUUGUGACUAUUAUACCUGUUGCUUCGGCGGCGCCCGCGAGGGUGCCCGCCGGUCUCAUCAGAAUCUCUGUUUUCGAACCCGACGAUACUUCUGAGUGUUCUUAGCGAACUGUCAAAACUUUUAACAACGGAUCUCUUGGCUCCAGCAUCGAUGAAGAACGCAGCGAAACGCGAUAUGUAAUGUGAAUUGCAGAAUUCAGUGAAUCAUCGAAUCUUUGAACGCACAUGGCGCCUUCCAGUAUCCUGGGAGGCAUGCCUGUCCGAGCGUCGUUUCAACCCUCGAGCCCCCGUGGCCCGGCGUUGGGGAUCUGCCACGGCAGGCCCCUAAAACCAGUGGCGGACCCGAAGGCCCUCUCCUUUGCGCAGUAGCAUCAGCCUCGCAUUGGGAUCCCUCGGCGUCCUGCCUCUAAACCCCCCACAAGUCCGCUCCGGCGGCACCAAGGUUGACCUCGGAUCAGGUAGGAAUACCCGCUGAACUUAAGCAUAUCAAA
rnacentral:rRNA from 1 species